rnacentral:lncRNA from 1 species
AAUGCGGUUGCCACCGUCAGCUGGAACCAAGGCGGUUCUUCCUUGCUUUCUUGAGGCCUGACGGAAGAACGCGUUCCGACGACGUGGAUGACAAGCGGAAGACAUGCUGGCGUCAAGCUGUACGAGCUUAAUGUUCAGCUACCUCACACCGAAAUGGACUUAAAGGCAACGUCAGACGGGGAGAGUAUGCUUCAAUGAAUAACUGAAGAUUUUCGGGAGAAACAGCAAGUGGAACAGCUAUUUUCUCUCGAACGCUUCCACUCUAGUUCACGAUCAGUUUCCACCAUCUUCAACACUUGAAGCACUGCAUGUGGUGGACAAGUGCUCCGCCAGCCUCGGCAUUUUUAAUCUCAUCUUGCGCACUUCCACUUCAUUCUUGUGUAGAGAAACGGUGGAGGCAGUUGUCUGUGUUUGAAACAGCUCAUGGUAGCGAAAGCAAGAGGAAAAUGCGUGGCCAGUACAGAAAUAAUUUUAGCAGAUGAAGAGGGAAAACCUGAGAUGCUGUGAAACGGUCGAGCUGUGGGACCCUGCCUACAAAGUAGAGUAUGUAUCACCAGCAAAACUCCUUCUGGAUAUCUUGCUGAGUCCCGUAUGACAGAGUCAGUAGUAAAUCAAUAACCAAGAGUUCACGGUGACUGUGGCACGAGGGCGAAACGACCUGAACGGCGUUAAGAAACCAGUGCACACGGCAUUCCCCAACUGGUUAUCGAUGCCUGAAGUUUGAGUUUGGGUAUUUGCCGAUCGGCGUACCUCUCUACGCGCGCGGUGGGUACAGAGCCAUCCAUGGUACAGGAGCUCAGUGUCGUGUCGCUUCAAAAGGCAGAAGACACACUUUCUUGGUCAAUAUGUGGAACCGAAGGGAAGGAUCUAUGGCGUGUAAGAGCCCCUUUAUUGGAUCUGGGAAAGACAGAGACUACUACACAAUGCCAUGAGG